rnacentral:rRNA from 1 species
UACGUAGGGACCAAGCGUUGUUCGGAUUUACUGGGCGUAAAGGGCGCGUAGGCGGCUUGACAAGUCACUUGUGAAAUCUCCGGGCUUAACUCGGAACGGCCAAGUGAAACUGUCAUGCUAGAGUGCAGAAGGGGCAAUCGGAAUUCUUGGUGUAGCGGUGAAAUGCGUAGAUAUCAAGAGGAACACCUGAGGUGAAGACGGGUUGCUGGGCUGACACUGACGCUGAGGCGCGAAAGCCAGGGGAGCAAACAGGG